rnacentral:lncRNA from 10 species
CACUCUUGCCAGUAAGUUACAUCGAAGCAGCUAUAUGGUAGAAUUGAUUAUGUAACACAAAACCCAUGGUAUCCAUUGCUCCUUAGAGUAGAAUUUAAAUCUUUACCUGGGCUCACAAGGUCCUGCCUCAAGUCCAGUCUCAGUUCAUCCUUUGGACUUCUUCUGGAAGAUUCCUCCGUAUCAGCCUGCCUUCUGGUCUUGACAUUUCCCUUUCUUACCUCGGGGCUUGUGCACCUGCCGUUGCCUCUCCUGGAAAGCUCUUCCCCAGGGCUUCACGUAACUGCCUUUGAAUCAUUACCUAGACCGUCCACAUGGAACAGAUGUGAUCACCAAGUUUUAGAAGAAACUUGCAAGCCCAUCGUCCAACACUUAACAUCUUUAUAGAUGGGGAAAUCCAAAGACGACAACUCAGCCCUGUCCCUCGUUGCAUGGUGUUUGGUGGAUGACUUGGCAUGAAGCAUCAUAUCUACAAGAAAAACAAGUCAAAGGCUGAUGCCUCUGAUGGGGAAAUCACCACUCUCUCAGUGGGCAGCCACAGGAAAUGGGUACCUGUCUAUACUGGGGCCACAGGAUUAUGGGGCAAUAUCCCACAUGCCAGAGCAUAACAUAGAGGCUCAUUAAGGACAGAUAUUUGGGAGUGUAUAUUUAUCAAAAAUUCAGAUGGGUGAAUGGCCAUCACAAAUGGGAGAGAGAACUGUUAGCCAACGGGUGACUCAGGGGCUGAGUGUGCACCCCUGUUAUGAAAACUGAUUGUUAAAAAAAAAAAAAAAGUUGUUUGCACUCAUCACAGAUAUCAACAUUUGAAGGCACUGGCUGAUUCCAACUUAUGGCAUAAAUGACUAUUCAAUCGCAAUUGGAAUAGCUUAGACAAAUUAUCUGUGAUUAAAGCAGGCCAAUUUCUCAAAAUAAAAGUCCAACCUGGAGCACAAAUGAGCCUAAGCGCUUGGUCCUUGGAAUAGUGACUUUUCUCUCUUGCAAAGCUUGGUCUCUAACCAAAUAAGUAUUUACCUAUACAUUUAGAGUUCAGAUCAAUAGGAGGAAGAUGAAAUAGCCAAGACUGCUUUUGUUGCACAUGACAAUGACAUAACUCAUCUUGUUUAAGAAUGAAAGGAGGCCGGGUGCGGUGGCUCACGCCUGCAAUCUAAACACUUUGGGAGGCUGAGGCAGGCGGAUCAUGAGGUCAGGAGAUCGAGACCUUCCUGGCUAACAUGGUGAAACCCCAUCUCUACUAAAAAUACAAAAAAUUAGCCCGGCGAGGUGGCAGACGCCUGUAGUCCCAGCUACUCGGGAGGCUGAGGCAGGAGAAUGGCGUGAACCUGAGAGGCGGAGCUUGCAGUGAGCCGAGAUCAUGCCACUGCACUCCAGCCUGGGCAACAGAGCGAGACUCCAACUCAAAAAAAAAAAAAAAAGAAUGAAAGGGAACUUAGCACUUGUAACUGAAGCAUCCAAGUUUACUGCUGACUUCAGGCAUGCUGGAUCCAGGCGGCGAGAAGCGUUAUCAAGAAUGUGUCAUUCUCUAUUUCUUGGCUCUGCUUUCCUCUAUAUUGCCAUUACUUUCAAGUAGGCUGUCUCCAUGUGAAUGGCAAAGCAAUCAUCUGUAGCUUCAGGCCUAGAUGGUCCCCACAACUGGUGGCUCCAAAAGAAACCAAAAGAAACACACACACACACACACACACACACAUACACACACACACACACACACACACACACACCCCUUUUUCCCAAUAGCUCUCACGAAAGUCCCAGGCAAGAAUCUCUCUGGCUAUACUUGGAACACAUACCCAACCCAGAACCCAUUCUCCUUGUUGGCCAUUUUGUGCAUAUCCAGGUGAUCACCAUGACCAGCCAUGCUGCCAUAAGGAUUCUUUUCAAGUCUCUUUAGGCAUCCACAUAAGGGGUACUGUGGAGUAUAGAGAUGACUAUUUCUUUGAAUACUGUGAUAGAUGCAAUAGUAGACUUGCAUUCAAGGUACCAUAGUACAGUAUAAGAAAAAAUAUAUAUGCCUUUGUAAACUGUGCUUACUCGCUCAGGAGCAGGGGGACGCCCCCUUCUUAAGGGAAGAGCCGGCAUCACACGCCCUCCCAGCUCAAGCUUCCCCUGCGACCUGCACGUGUGUGAAUUGGCAGGCCCCACUAAUAUUGGUAUUUCCCUCUCAUUCCUACUAUUACCCCUGCCAAGCUUGGGAUGGCAGAGUUGGAGUCAUAUCCAUUCUAGGAGCCUAAAGAUGUGACUCCUCUGCAUUGAUGAGAGACACGGAAGAGGGAAAAGCAAGGAAAGACUUUAGUGAGCUCUGAAGUCCCACCUGCCACUCCACUAAAUGCCAGAAUCAUCUGGCCUCACUUAGUGGGUGGAGCAAAUUCCUGCCCCCCAGGGCCUCCCUCCUGAACCUGCAAGGUUGGUGGGAGAGGGAGACCCUCCCCAAAAGAGGAAGCCUGUUGUGUUGAGAGUGAUUUCAGAGACCUCAGCCAGGAAAGGUAAAUCAAAAUAACCCUUACACUCCGCCUCCUUCUUCCUUUAGAGGGGAAUGUUUCCUGGCACGGGUGCUGCAGCUUAAUAAAUUGCAUGCAGUAGAUUUCAGGCCUUGAGAAAAUCUUAACACUAGCUAAUAUGACCAGCACUAACAAAAUUUCUUGGAGCUUAUAAUAACAAAAAAAGCUCAUUGACGGAUUCCCACUUUUAUUCCUGCCCCCCUUUUCCACUUAGCCUUAAAUUUUUUUUAAUAAGAAAUUUUUAUUAACAAAAACAACAACAAAAAAAAAACAGAGUGAAGCACUUCACAAGAUCUUGCCCAGUUUAUUUUUUUAAUCUGUAAUAAUGAGCAUAACAGUUCAGCAAUGGAAUACUCACUCCAACAAAAUCUCCAGAUCUUUACAUCCUGAGUCUGCGAGGGCUGGACACAUGCCCUUGCUAAUUAUCAACCUUCUGAAACAGCUCAAGACAUGGGAUUAAAAACUGCUGUGGAAUUUGAACUCACGGACAUUCAUCUGAGUCAGCUACUCUGAACUCGCAUCUACUAUAAGGACCUGAGCAUUUCCUUCUCCCGUUUCCUCAGGACCUGCUCGGGGGUGUUCAGGGGAAGGUUGUCACAAACAUACUUGCAAUAAAAAUAAUCAAACAAAUGGAGAGCAUGUCUAUUUCCGGAAUUAGAUUCUUUUGAUAGUGAAGGAAUCAAAUGGGAUAAGGGGCAGGGAGAAGUCAGGUAAGUCCAAUAUUACUAUGUCCACAUGCUUAAAUUUCACUCCUCGGGGGCUUAUUGUCCCUAACAAUGGCCCUUUUAGCUAUGGAAUACGGGGAAUGACUAACCUUUUUCUAGCCUGUCAGUGAGAACUACCACUAUAUAUUGGUAAGUAUUUCCGUACAAAAUUCACUUGGAAAGGAUAUUGUUUCAAGCCUGGACAAAGCUCAUAUUGUCAUGUUCCAGUUCCAGUUAUUUUAGGCAAGGAAGGGGAAUUUCCACUGCUCCCUACAAUCAGUUUUGAGCACUUAGCUCUGAGUAAUAACUUCCUUGUAAUCUGUCAGAGCC